rnacentral:rRNA from 3 species
UUCCAGGUAAAUCCGGUUCACUUUAACACUGAGGCGUGACGACGAGGCACUACGGUGCUGAAGCAACAAAUGCCCUGCUUCCAGGAAAAGCCUCUAAGCAUCAGGUAACAUCAAAUCGUACCCCAAACCGACACAGGUGGUCAGGUAGAGAAUACCAAGGCGCUUGAGAGAACUCGGGUGAAGGAACUAGGCAAAAUGGUGCCGUAACUUCGGGAGAAGGCACGCUGACACGUAGGUGAAGUGAUUUACUCAUGGAGCUGAAGUCAGUCGAAGAUACCAGCUGGCUGCAACUGUUUAUUAAAAACACAGCACUGUGCAAACACGAAAGUGGACGUAUACGGUGUGACGCCUGCCCGGUGCCGGAAGGUUAAUUGAUGGGGUCAGCGCAAGCGAAGCUCCUGAUCGAAGCCCCGGUAAACGGCGGCCGUAACUAUAACGGUCCUAAGGUAGCGAAAUUCCUUGUCGGGUAAGUUCCGACCUGCACGAAUGGCGUAAUGAUGGCCAGGCUGUCUCCACCCGAGACUCAGUGAAAUUGAACUCGCUGUGAAGAUGCAGUGUACCCGCGGCAAGACGGAAAGACCCCGUGAACCUUUACUAUAGCUUGACACUGAACAUUGAGCCUUGAUGUGUAGGAUAGGUGGGAGGCUUUGAAGUGUGGACGCCAGUCUGCAUGGAGCCGACCUUGAAAUACCACCCUUUAAUGUUUGAUGUUCUAACGUGGACCCGUUACCCGGGUUGCGGACAGUGUCUGGUGGGUAGUUUGACUGGGGCGGUCUCCUCCUAAAGAGUAACGGAGGAGCACGAAGGUUGGCUAAUCCUGGUCGGACAUCAGGAGGUUAGUGCAAUGGCAUAAGCCAGCUUGACUGCGAGCGUGACGGCGCGAGCAGGUGCGAAAGCAGGUCAUAGUGAUCCGGUGGUUCUGAAUGGAAGGGCCAUCGCUCAACGGAUAAAAGGUACUCCGGGGAUAACAGGCUGAUACCGCCCAAGAGUUCAUAUCGACGGCGGUGUUUGGCACCUCGAUGUCGGCUCAUCACAUCCUGGGGCUGAAGUAGGUCCCAAGGGUAUGGCUGUUCGCCAUUUAAAGUGGUACGCGAGCUGGGUUUAGAACGUCGUGAGACAGUUCGGUCCCUAUCUGCCGUGGGCGCUGGAGAACUGAGGGGGGCUGCUCCUAGUACGAGAGGACCGGAGUGGACGCAUCACUGGUGUUCGGGUUGUCAUGCCAAUGGCACUGCCCGGUAGCUAAAUGCGGAAGAGAUAAGUGCUGAAAGCAUCUAAGCACGAAACUUGCCCCGA